rnacentral:rRNA from 1 species
AGAAUCAACGCUGGCGGCGUGCCUAACACAUGCAAGUCGAACGAGAAAGUGGAGCAAUCCAUGAGUAAAGUGGCGCACGGGUGAGUAACACGUGACUAACCUACCCUUGAGUGGGGGAUAACCUAGGGAAACCUGGGCUAAUACCGCAUAAUACCUUCGGGUCAAAGGAGCAAUUCGCUUAAGGAGGGGGUCGCGGCCGAUUAGUUAGUUGGCGGGUAAUGGCCCACCAAGACUGUGAUCGGUAU